AUCUGCGAUAAGCGCCGGUAAGGUGAUAUGAACCGUUAUAACCGGCGAUACCCGAAUGGGGAAACCCAGUGUGACUCGUCACACUAUCAUUAACUGAAUCCAUAGGUUAAUGAGGCGAACCGGGGGAACUGAAACAUCUAAGUACCCCGAGGAAAAGAAAUCAACCGAGAUUCCCCCAGUAGCGGCGAGCGAACGGGGAGGAGCCCAGAGCCUGAAUCAGCAUGUGUGUUAGUGGAAGCGUCUGGAAAGGCGCGCGAUACAGGGUGACAGCCCCGUACACAAAAGCGCAUGUGCUGUGAGCUCGAUGAGUAGGGCGGGACACGUGGUAUCCUGUCUGAAUAUGGGGGGACCAUCCUCCAAGGCUAAAUACUCCUGACUGACCGAUAGUGAACCAGUACCGUGAGGGAAAGGCGAAAAGAACCCCGGCGAGGGGAGUGAAAAAGAACCUGAAACCGU
rnacentral:rRNA from 4 species